UUUACGUACACAUUGCUGACAUUUUGAGAAGAAUUGAUAAGCGAUGGAAAAGAUAUGUUCGAUAGUAGUGUCAGUAUGUUUCUCAGUUAAUAUGGAUGUAGACGGUUGUUAAAAACAAAAACGCGAACAAGUGAGAAGUUUAUACUAAUAGGCAACAUUGUCUGUUUUUGUGCGGUUAUAUACCUAAAUGUUUUUUCAAAGCCAAAGAAUCUUUAGUAAAGACAGAAAUAUCUUAUAGUUGAGAUUAUUGCCGUGAAGGAAACAGAAGACACUUUUUUAUACUGGGUUUCCUUAUCCAUUUAAUGGCUAGUUUCAAUAACAAAACAAGAGAUGAAAUCCCAACAGCCAAGUUAUUAGCCCAGCUGAAGCCUUCUGAAUUGAAUGAGAAUUACCACCCUAGUGGUUGGGAAACAUGGAAAUGUGCUUUUGCACCUGACGAGUCAUAUUUUGCUUGGUCUUGUGGAAAUCGUCUAGUCACACUUGUACCUUGGAACAGAUGCAAAUCUACAUUGCCCCAGUUGUCAGAGGUUCUGGCUCAGCUUGUCCUUCCAAAGCCUGGAGCCAGAGCUUCGACAGAUGACACUGAUGAUGAAGGUCAUAAGCUUGUACAUAAAACUAUCACUAUUGAUUGUGGGUGCCUAGUGAGAUCUAUUGCUUUUGGGUCAGCCACAUCAGAAAAGAAGCACUUAGCUUCUAAAGCCUUCUGGACACACUUCAGUGUUUCGAAGGAUCUAGUCCUUGCCACUGGUCUUAACAAUGGUCAUAUUCGCACGUGGGAUAUAUUCACAGGACAUUUAAUCCUAGAGCUUAUGGACCACAGGAGUGUGGUAACAGAUAUUGCAUUUGCUCCAAAUGGUAGUCUACUUUUGGCAUCAUCAUCUCAGGAUGCAACAAUCAAGUUCUGGGAUCUCAGUGAUGAUGGAAACAUGUUCAAAACUCUCAGGAUGAAUGGGAAGGCUGUGUAUUGUUGUGCUUGGUCUCCUGAUGCCCAUAUGUUGGCAACUGUAGGAAUGUGUACAUCUGUAUAUGUGUGGGAUACUAGUUCCUUCAGUCUGAAACUUCGACUCAGUGGCCAUAAAUAUGAUGUUGUUUCCUGUGAAUAUUCUCCUGAUGGCUGUCUCAUAGUAACAGUAUCAUGGGAUACACAAGCUAUACUUUGGGAUGCUUACACUGGAAUGAAGCUUAAGUGCUUUGGUCAUCUAUUUCCACCUCCGAGACUUAUCUAUGCAUCAGGAGCUAAUGGAACGUGGGUACGGGGAGUAUCCUUCUCUCCUGAUGGAGCUCAUAUAUCAACAGUUGCAGAUGAUGGUUACAUGCGAAUCUGGGACAUUUUAUAUGAAGAUGAUCCUGUAGCUGUAGGGUCUGUGGAGGAAGGUCUUUGCUGUACUUAUUCUCCGUCCGGUCGGGUCUUGGCUGUAGGGACUCGAGAAGGAAAUGUCAGCUUUUGGCAAGCAGCAAUGUCAGUCAAGCCACUGCUUUAUCUCUGUAGACUGGUAAUCCGGCGACAAACUCCUCCGGAGAAAGUUGAGAAACUAUUCAUUCCAAAGCGGCUCACAAAUUACCUGUUGUACAAAGAAUUAGUAUGACUGCAGCUCAGAGUACCUUCUUUUUUCUUGUUUUACUCCUCCUUCCCCUGGUGGGUAGAGUGGAGUUAUAGAAAUUAUUACAGAAUUGUCUAUGUGUACACCAAAGCAAGUGUCCUUUAAAGAAGAGGCAUCAACUGCACACACCCAAAGAAAGAUGAUAUUCUAAUGUCACUCCAGAUUUUUGAAGUACAUCAAAAGAUCUGACUCAUGAGGUGACUUCAGAAAGAAAAUGGACAUUGGUGUCUUGAGUUAUGUGCCAAGAAUUUAAGUUUACAAGUUUGUUUUAAAAAAAGUGGCAAGAAUAUUAUUACCAUAUCAAUAACUAAAGAUUUAUUAUUUACUUAAAUGAUUUAUUGAUUUUAAAGUACUACUUUCUGUUAUAAAAUCUUACCACUGAUGGAAGUUUUGCAUUGAAGGAUUAAAAGAAAUAAAAUCU
rnacentral:misc_RNA from 1 species